rnacentral:rRNA from 1 species
CAGGAUGAACGCUAGCUACAGGCUUAACACAUGCAAGUCGAGGGGCAUCAGAUCGAAAGCUUGCUUUGAUGCUGGCGACCGGCGCACGGGUGAGUAACGCGUAUCCAACCUUCCCUAUAGUAGAGAAUAGCCCGGCGAAAGUCGGAUUAAUGCUCUAUGUUGUAUUUAGAAGACAUCUGAAGAAUACCGAAGGUUUACCGCUAUAGGAUGGGGAUGCGUCUGAUUAGGUAGUAGGCGGGGUAACGGCCCACCUAGCCGACGAUCAGUAGGGGUUCUGAGAGGAAGGUCCCCCACAUUGGAACUGAGACACGGUCCAAACUCCUACGGGAGGCAGCAGUGAGGAAUAUUGGUCAAUGGACGGAAGUCUGAACCAGCCAAGUAAGCGUGCAGGAUGACGGCCCUAUGGGUUGUAAACUGCUUUUAUAUAGGGAUAAAGUCGGGGACGUGUCCCCGUUUGUAGGUACUAUAUGAAUAAGGACCGGCUAAUUCCGUGCCAGCCGCCGC